rnacentral:lncRNA from 1 species
GGAAAUGUAAAUGAUCUGAAAUUUUGUAGUCUGUCUCUCCAGAACAGGAUUAUUCCCUGUAGCAUCUUGAGGAUUGUACUUGGUUUUGAAUUACACUUAAUUGUAUCUUUCUUAACCACUGUAAAUUAUGUUGUUCCGUUGUUGGUGUUUGCACCAUUAGGCACUGUUGUUUACAGCUUCCUAUCUUGGGGUGGGAACUAGCAUGAGUUAGACUUACACUUAUUUGGCUCUAUGUUUUUAUACCUAAAAAUUCCACCUAGAGGGAAACAUUUGACAAGGCUGAAGAGAUGUGGUGAAAAACCAGUGUGGUUCAGCUUUCUGGCCUAAUGUUGUAGGCAUUCUGAAUUACCUUUCUGGAAUUGGCUCUCUCUCAUUGGUGCUUUCCAGAACUGAAGGUCCCAAAUUUCCUCCCAUGGAUUACUCUUCAGGUAGUCAACUAAUAUGCACAGAGCGCCUUUGUCCCAGGGGGGCAGGUGUAAUGUUUGUCAAGACCAUGCUAUGUACAGAGCCGCAGUAGUAAAAUAAUGUAUCAUAAGCCUACCGGGUUAAUGUAGUGUAGGGUUUUUGUCAGAAACAGUGUUCCAUUAAGUUAGUACACUAACAGAAACAGUGUUUCUAAUCUUUAUAAAAUGUGUUAAAAAAAAAACAAAAAAAAAACCAUCAACCCCAAAAACUACAACAAAAAGGAACAGUGGGAACAAAUGGCUCCAUUGUUUAUCUGUGGAGGUAAGACAUCAAUUUGAUAUUUAUACAUUAACAACUGUUUCUUUCCUUCCUUUCUUUUGCUGCCUGAAGGCCUGAGCUACAAUGUCUCAGUGGGAUUUGGGAGUAGGUUCUGCUUGACAUGUAUAUUUUUAGUAACUUAUUUUAGCAGUACAUUAAAUAUUAUCUCUGCAUGUAAAUAAAUGGAAAUGUUAUCUAAACAUUUUUCUAUCUGUCAGAUUAAGAUGUUUAGUCAAGUGAAUUAAGAUGACCACAAGAGAAACAGAGGCUGCUCUACAAGGCAAUUUGUUUGAAGUGAGGGAAAUAGUAAGAAUAGAUCAUCUUAGAAUUUUACACUGGGCUGUGUGUUCUGUUGAGCACCAAGUUUGGUUUGUUGAUUUGCUGUCUCACUUCUAAAUCAAGAGUGUAGCUUUGUUUCCAAGUGCACCAUAGUCCCAAGGUGGUCACAGAGAGCCUUGUAACCAC